UAGGUACUCCCUCUGUCCCAAAUUUCUUGUCUUAGAUUUUUCCAGAUACGGAUGUAUCUAAUACUAAAAUGUGACUUGAUACAUCCGUAUCUAGACAAAUCUAAGACAAAAAUUUUGAAACGGAGGGAGUACGAG
rnacentral:pre_miRNA from 1 species